rnacentral:rRNA from 1 species
GACGAACGCUGGCGGCGUGCCUAAUACAUGCAAGUCGAGCGGAAGUUGGAGAGCUUGCUCUUCAACUUUAGCGGCGGACGGGUGAGUAACACGUGGGCAACCUGCCCUGCAGAUCGGGAUAACUCCGGGAAACCGGUGCUAAUACCGAAUAGUUUUCGCCACCUCCUGGUGGCGUACGGAAAGACGGUUUCGGCUGUCACUGCAGGAUGGGCCCGCGGCGCAUUAGCUAGUUGGUGGGGUAACGGCCCACCAAGGCGACGAUGCGUAGCCGACCUGCGAGGGUGAUCGGCCACACUGGGACUGAGACACGGCCCAGACUCCUACGGGAGGCAGCAGUAGGGAAUCUUCCGCAAUGGACGAAAGUCUGACGGAGCAACGCCGCGUGAGUGACGAAGGUUUUCGGAUCGUAAAACUCUGUUGUGAGGGAAGAACAAGUACCAACUAACUACUGGUACCUUGACGGUACCUCACCAGAAAGCCACGGCUAACUACGUGCCAGCAGCCGCCGUAAGAC